rnacentral:rRNA from 1 species
AAAUUGAAGAGUUUGAUCAUGGCUCAGAUUGAACGCUGGCGGCAGGCCUAACACAUGCAAGUCGAGCGGUAGCACAGAGAGCUUGCUCUCGGGUGACGAGCGGCGGACGGGUGAGUAAUGUCUGGGAAACUGCCUGAUGGAGGGGGAUAACUACUGGAAACGGUAGCUAAUACCGCAUAACGUCGCAAGACCAAAGUGGGGGACCUUCGGGCCUCAUGCCAUCAGAUGUGCCCAGAUGGGAUUAGCUAGUAGGUGGGGUAAUGGCUCACCUAGGCGACGAUCCCUAGCUGGUCUGAGAGGAUGACCAGCCACACUGGAACUGAGACACGGUCCAGACUCCUACGGGAGGCAGCAGUGGGGAAUAUUGCACAAUGGGCGCAAGCCUGAUGCAGCCAUGCCGCGUGUAUGAAGAAGGCCUUCGGGUUGUAAAGUACUUUCAGCGAGGAGGAAGGCGUUAAGGUUAAUAACCUUGGUGAUUGACGUUACUCGCAGAAGAAGCACCGGCUAACUCCGUGCCAGCAGCCGCGGUAAUACGGAGGGUGCAAGCGUUAAUCGGAAUUACUGGGCGUAAAGCGCACGCAGGCGGUCUGUCAAGUCGGAUGUGAAAUCCCCGGGCUCAACCUGGGAACUGCAUUCGAAACUGGCAGGCUAGAGUCUUGUAGAGGGGGGUAGAAUUCCAGGUGUAGCGGUGAAAUGCGUAGAGAUCUGGAGGAAUACCGGUGGCGAAGGCGGCCCCCUGGACAAAGACUGACGCUCAGGUGCGAAAGCGUGGGGAGCAAACAGGAUUAGAUACCCUGGUAGUCCACGCCGUAAACGAUGUCGACUUGGAGGUUGUGCCCUUGAGGCGUGGCUUCCGGAGCUAACGCGUUAAGUCGACCGCCUGGGGAGUACGGCCGCAAGGUUAAAACUCAAAUGAAUUGACGGGGGCCCGCACAAGCGGUGGAGCAUGUGGUUUAAUUCGAUGCAACGCGAAGAACCUUACCUACUCUUGACAUCCAGAGAACUUAGCAGAGAUGCUUUGGUGCCUUCGGGAACUCUGAGACAGGUGCUGCAUGGCUGUCGUCAGCUCGUGUUGUGAAAUGUUGGGUUAAGUCCCGCAACGAGCGCAACCCUUAUCCUUUGUUGCCAGCGAUUCGGUCGGGAACUCAAAGGAGACUGCCAGUGAUAAACUGGAGGAAGGUGGGGAUGACGUCAAGUCAUCAUGGCCCUUACGAGUAGGGCUACACACGUGCUACAAUGGCAUAUACAAAGAGAAGCGACCUCGCGAGAGCAAGCGGACCUCAUAAAGUAUGUCGUAGUCCGGAUUGGAGUCUGCAACUCGACUCCAUGAAGUCGGAAUCGCUAGUAAUCGUAGAUCAGAAUGCUACGGUGAAUACGUUCCCGGGCCUUGUACACACCGCCCGUCACACCAUGGGAGUGGGUUGCAAAAGAAGUAGGUAGCUUAACCUUCGGGAGGGCGCUUACCACUUUGUGAUUCAUGACUGGGGUGAAGUCGUAACAAGGUAACCGUAGGGGAACCUGCGGUUGGAUCACCUCCUUACCUUAAAGAA